rnacentral:rRNA from 1 species
GACGAACGCUGGCGGCGUGCUUAACACAUGCAAGUCGAGCGGCGCGGCGAACGGGUGAGUAACGGGUGAGUAACUGCCCCCCUCUUUGGGAUAACAGCUGGAAACGGCUGCUAAUAGCGGCUAGUGGGGGAUGAUUCGGGUCCAAUCGGCUUGUUGGUGGGGUAGGGGCCUGCCAAGGCGACGAGUGGUAGCCGGCCUGGGAGGGGGACCGGCCACCUUGGUCUGAGAUAGGGCCCAAACUGCUACGGGGGGCAGCGGUGGAGAGUAUUGCACAGUGGGGCAAACCGUGAUACAGCGACGCCGCGGGCGGGAUGACGGCCUUCGGGUUGUAAACCGCUUUCAGCCAUGACGCGGUAGUGGCAGAAGAAGCACCGGCUAACUACGUGCCAGCCGCCGCGGUAAUUC